CUUCAACGACCCGAGGUACAGCGGUUGUUCGUCGGUGUGGUCCUGGCCGUAGGUGUUCAGCAGGGCCUGCGCCUC
rnacentral:antisense_RNA from 1 species